rnacentral:tRNA from 1 species
AACUUCUGUGGAAGAAGGACUUCGGGGCGUUCGCGACGGCCCAGGGUCAGGGGACGGCGAGUUCGCCCGCGUUCGACGGCGAGCGGGUGUUCC